UGCUGUUUUCUAAGAACAUUUCUGAUUGUAUUUACAUCAAAAAUAGUUUUUUUUUGCAGUCAAAUUGUAUAAUUUAUAGAAAAAAAAUACGAAUUUGAAAUAUGUACAAAAAUUAGUUUUUCAAAAAAUUCCAAAAUAAUGUUUAUUUUGUGGCAAGUUUGCAAUGUUUUUCAAUAACUGCUCCGCAUAGCAAGUUCGUCCCAAACCCAAAUUUUCACCAGCAUUGAGUUUCUUAGCGGAAAUGGUAGCUAGUUUCGCUAGAGUUCACCAAAUAUUUCUUCAAAAAGACUAGCUGAAAUGAAAAUCUAUUUGAAAAACUGAAGAAUUAGAACUGUGUGCCACUUAUUUUAUCCUCAAUAUGUUUAUUCAAAUAACUAGUAAUGUUAGUAAGAUUAUACAGUGAAUCUUAUUUUGCAUUGCUCUUAGAAAUUGAAACAGUUUCUAUAUGAUGAUGGUCCCACCUCAUACCCCUACAUCGGUUUGAGCUGGUCGAUUUAUCUAAAAAAGAUAUUAUUUAAAGACAUACAAUGUAACCAGCAGGCAAACAAAUAACGGACUGGUUAUUAAUACAGACAUAGUAACCCUUCAAAAGAAUACCAAUAAUUCGAAAAUUAAAAAAAAACGAUUUUCCAAUAACAUCAUUGAUCCAAGGCUCAUCCAAAACGUUUCCAACCCGAAAAUUAUCUGGAUUUGGUUAGGAAUCGAACCUAACAUUUAGGAGCUUUAACUAAUCAGAAUUGGUUCUGUAUAACGAUCCAAAACUACGAGAGAGAUCCUAUGAUACUAUAGUUAUCGAUAACGAGCUAUACAGUCCACAGGCAAACCCAAGCCUGUUCAGUUUUUUCUCCCAACCCUUUGUUCUAAAUCGUGAAAACAGAUAAAUAUUAAAAAUCUUAAUGAAAAUAUAUAUAUAAUAUUACAAACCAAAAAAGCAACUUAUCAACCCGAUAUGCCUUUUGUUUCAAUAUUUAUCCAUCCAUUUAUCCAAUAUUUAUCCAAAUCCAUCAUCAUCAAUGAACAUAAUAACUUAGUGUACCAGAUAAAUUUGAAAAAAAAAUAUACUUAAAUAUUACAAUCUUCUUUAUUAAUUAACAAAAAAUUCGUUAAAAUCUGUCUACAAAACAGAUUUCAUGUGUGAAAUACAAAGCCUUUUAAACUCCGCCAUUGUUGCUGCACGUUUCACUUGUCUGGGCAUCGAAUUGAAAAAGUUAAUUCCUUUAUACAACAGAGAGCUCUGUGAUCUACUAAAUAAAAAGUGUGGUGUUCUAGCGUCUUCCGCGUUUCUAGUGUUGUACCUAUGGAAAUCACUUCCCCUAUCAAUUCGAUCACACAAAUAUCGAGGCAGCAUAUAAUUAAAAAUUUUAUAAAGGAACACCAUUGUCAAAAAAUAUACUCGUUGCUUCACAGAAAGCCAUUGCAACGCGUCCAGCAUGAAACUCGAGGAAGUGUAUCUAUAACAUCUUAAUAUUAAUCGCAUUACUUUAUUUUGUAACCGCUGUAAUCUCAAUAUUUGUGUAUUAUUUGCAAGGAAUAAGAUGGAUAAGCAAAAGUCUAUAUGUGGUGAAAUGAUUGACUUAUACAACAAAAUUUUACUACUAACAGUCAAUUCAUUUUUUAAACGGCACAGAAUACCGUAUUUUUUAGCCAUUUUUCUGAUGACGUUGUCAAUGUGAGACUUGAAAGUUAACUUGUCAUCAAUGAUUACUCCAAGAUAUUUUAACUCAUUCACGCGAUCAAUCGUCUCACCAUUAAUUGCAAUAUUUACGUCUGGUCUGGAGUUGGCCGAAGAAAUAAUUAAAUAUUUUGUUUUGCUAAUGUUUAGCUUAAGUUGUUUAAAAUUUAACCAAUUCGCCAGAUAAUGUAAGUCUUGGUUUAAAAGUGUUUCAACAUCAUUUGGAUUUUUAUCCGCAAUGAACAGAACAGUGUCGUCGGCAAAUAAAUUUACAUCAAACAACAAAAUGGGCCCUAAAACACUUCCUUGCGGUACACCCAGUGUAUUAGCAAUGGAAGCUGAUUCAGAAUCAUAAAAACGAGUCUUCUGAGUUCUAGCACACAAAUAGCUUUAAAACCAUUUAUAUGCUGUCCCUACGAUACCAAAGCGCUUUAAUGUUUGCAACAAUAAGGGCCUAGAAAUUGUUUCAAAAGCGCGUUUUAGAUCCAGAAACACCGCAAAAAUAGUUUCUUCAGCCUCGAUUUUCUCUUUCCAUUUUGCUAACACCAAAUUCAAUGCAGACUCACAAGAGUGUCCCUCUCGAUAACCUGAUUGUUCUGGGAUCAGCAAAUCAUUACUGUUUAUUUAAACAUUAGCUAAAUGCAUUAGCUGGCCUUUAUCAAUUAGCUCCAAAAUUUUCUCUAAUGUGUGCAGUAUAUUAAUGGGACGGAACUCUUCGGCUUUAUCCGUCCCAGUAAUUUUGGGGAUAGGAGCCACAAGAGAUUCCUUCCAAACUUCAGGCACGUGUCCUGUUUGUAAAGAUUCGUUAACAAGGUCCAGCAGGUCGUGUCCAAUUACAUGAAAGCAAUCUUGUAUUACUUUUGCGUUGACAUUGUCGAUACCAGCCGAUCUCUUCAAAGAGAAACAAAUAUCUUUCAACUCUGCAAAAGUAAUAGGAUGAAAACCAUCAAAUCUACAGUUAUUAUGGAUCGGCUGUAUUAUCUCGUCAGGUUCAUUGACCACAUCAAUACUUUGAUUGAUCGGUUGAACACUUUCAACGAAAUAACUGUUAAAUUUAUUUGCAAUAACUCGCGCGGAGUUUUCCUCAAUACCAUUGAAAGUUAUGCACUGUGCUAAUGUACUAUUACUUUUCAUUAAUUUUUUUAAAGUUUUCCAUAACUCUUUGCUGUUAUUUUGAUGUUGAUCGAUCUUCCGUUGUAUAUAUGCACAUCUAACCUUUUUCAAGGUGCGUGAAUAUAUGUUUCGCGCCGCGGUGUUCCAAUCAUCGUUAUCAUUACUUCUACAAUUUUUUUUAUAACAUUUAUCUCUUCUACGUUUUAAACGCACAAGAUCUAAAGAGUACCAGCUGUUCGAAUUUUGUAACUCAACAAAUUUUUCAGAAACUAGAUUCUUGGUACAGUCUUCCAACGUUUUGGUUAGAACAGCUGCUUUAUUGUCCAAAUCUCCAGUUAUUGGAUGAAAAUUCAAACUUCUUGAAACAAGCUGAGACAUUGCUUGUUUCGAAUAACUAUUCCAGCACUUUAUUUUUACUUUAUCCUCUCGGUUUUGAUCGUUUUCAAUUGAAAUACAAAUUGUCUCAUGGUCUGUUAUUUUAUAAUCGGCCUCUGUGAAGGAAUUAACAUUAUCAAAAUUGGAGAACACAUGAUCAAUCAAGGUACUAGAGUGUCUGGAAAUUCUUGUAAAUUGAAAAACUGUUUGUCUUAGAUUGAAAAAACCGACUAAUUGCUUUAAUUGAUUCGAGUUCGAUCCACCAAGCCAAUCAAUAUUGAAAUCACCAGCAAUUACGUUUAAUUUAUUCAAAUCAACAAAAUUUUCUCACCAGUUAUCUAAAAUUUCCAAAAAACGCUGGUCACUCGAACUGGGGGAAUGGUAGACUAUUCCAAAAUUUCCCAUCGUCAUGCCUCUCUGAUCGAUAUUCCCAGGAACCAAUUGUUUUCGACAGAUUCGUUUGAUAGAAUGUUGAACUUGACUGAUUCCUUGGCGUAAAUAGCAACCCCACCAGUAUGUCUGGAAUGUGAAAGGCAAAAAGCAACUUUAUAACCCGGAAUACUAUAUUGAUCAAAUGCAUCAGCUUCCACUAUGUGAGUUUCAGCCAGCAAUACUAACAUUGGUCGUUUUUUUUCACAAGAUGCCGCAAAGCAACAUAAUUCGUGGAUAAACCAGCAAUAUUAAGAUAAACUAUUUCUAAUUUCCUCUCACAUUGCAUUUUCUUCAGCUGCUAUUUACUUGACAACAUGUUGCUUUUUCUUUUUUCAAACAGUCUCCGAAAAACUGGACACUGCGAACUUGAUGCUGGAUGUUUCGCGUCCAAAUUCAUUUUCAACUCAUUAUUAUGUUUUAAACAAUUUACGCAUUUAUAAUCAGUAGAAGCGCAUUCCGAUGUUUUGUGCUUUUCACUGCAUUUAGAGCAUGUCUCAGGAUUAACACACUCUGUGCUUUUAUGACCAAAUUCGCCACAUUUAAAGCAACGCAAUACAUUUAUGGCCUCUCGUACAAAACACUUGUCCCACCCAAUGCUUACUUUUCUAGCAUUCAUUAGGCAGUUAUAAGUGUCUAGAUCAACUUCGAUUAUCACGUUAAACUUGUUAUAUUUGAAGCGUGAAUUUUCAUACUCGGCAAUAACCUUUACUCCUUUAAAGCCGAUGCUAUCAUUCUGACUUUUCAACAAGUCUAUGAAUUCAUCGGAGGAAUAUCGAUCACUCAUUCCCACAAUCUUCAACUUAGGCUUCGCGAUUGUGGGAAUAACAGCAUUAUAUCGUUCACCCAGGUUGCUUUCAAUGUCUUUUUUAACAACCUCAACAUUAUCCCCUACUGCACACUCUGCAAUUAUCGAGCCAUUCUUACCGUUUCUAAAGUUCCUGAUUUUGUGGAUUUUUGGAUCUAAAGUUUUUUUCAAAAAACAUCUAGUAUCUUCACUAGAUUGAGAAGUCUCGACCGGUUUGAUCACAAUGACCGGCCGAGCCUUACGGUUUUCCUUUUUCUGUAAUUUAUUUGAUAUACUCCCAGUCGAACUCGCUAAAACAUUCGCGUAUGUUGGUAAACUUUCCGAAAAAACCUCGUCAUCACGUACUAGUAACAUCUUUUUACUGGGGUUAGAGUCCAAUCUCAUUUCGACUCCUUUUUCUGUUCAUUGGACCAUUAUUUCUAUCGCGAUCGGUAUUUAAGACUAUUUGGUUUUUGAAAUCAUCCAGCUUUCUGGCAACACUGUUUACCAGACUCUCACGAAGAGAAUCGCUGACAGAUUUCAAAAUAGUCUCGAUCGCGUUAGAAACAGCAACAUUUAUCUGGGUUUCAAUUUUGUAAGGCAUCUCUCAUCUUUGUCAACUAACUCAAAACAUCAUCUUUCCCACCGUCAUCACAGGCUGAUAAACACAAAACACAUUUAAACACAAUAUUAUCAUUAUCAUUAACGACUUUCGCUGCUAUUUUCGUGAGGGGCGGGCAAACUCUGUGGAACUGAGAUUUGCAUUUACCAACGCAAACAACCGGAUCGUCGCUAAUGCGAAUGAUAUUACCACAUUUGCCACAAUCCAUCUUCCCGCUGCAAACAAGCCGAAGCUGCUGCAGACCAAUACGCUGGACUCGUCCAGCAGCAACGGAGGGUAAAGGCAAAUGAACAAUGAAAAAACACAACAAUGAAAUUUCAAUCAGCAGCCGUAGCGUCUAUAUAACAUAGAUGCGUUGGUCGGCGCUGGUAUAAAAUAAAUCGAUAAAAAACAGAAUAAAUUAAAAGCAUUCAAAGACACUUUUACUUAUCCGUUGAGAUAUCCAAUUAUGCCGUCGGAUCACUAGCACUAGAUCACCAAAAGCACUUGAUUUCACACAAAAUAAAAUAGCUUUUAAAUCAGCACACUAGUGGUACACAAGCUACCAUGCUCACCGUCAUCACUUGCACUAUUGUACAAAUGAGAAUUUAUGUUUGAUUCUCUCACUAAAAACGUUUUCGGUUUUUAUGCUAUUCUAAGACAUUUGGUGUCAACAUUUAUUUUAUUUGAAAAGCAGGACUGAUAAAAGUGGUCAGCUGGUCAGCGGGUCAAAAAAGUAAGUUUAGUGACUUUUUGAUUAAAAAAUUGACUGCUGAAAAUGUGACUUUUAAGGGACCAACUUGCAGUCUUGCACUUCCAACUUCUCUAUCAUUUGUAAUUGCAUCAUACACAAUACUACGAAAAAAUCUUGGUAACAAAAUCCCGAUUGAAUAAAAAAAUUCCCGACUUUUUCCCGCAUUUUUCCCGAUGUAAUUCAAUUCCCGACUUUUUCCCGCAUUUCCCGUUUUCCCGAUUGAGUGGCCACCCUGAUUAAGGCCCGAAUACACACACGACGCAAUGACACCUUUUCCAUACAAAAUAGAAGGCGUGAUCGCUAUACCGCCUUCCAUUUUGUAUGGAGAAGGCGCCAUUACGCCGUGUGUGUAUUUGGGCGUUUGAAACAUCUGAUUUUGACACACUUUUUUGGACAUUUAACCGUAAUUUCUAAGAAAUUUUAAAAACAGUUUUUUUGGCAUUUUUUAAAUUAUAUUAAGAUAGUUUUUAAAUAUUUGAAAACUUUUCUGAGCUGUUUUGAUACACUUUUGAAACAUUAUUAAAAUACUUAGGGGCAGUUUUGAAAUCUUUCUGAAACCUUUUGUAGACAUCAUGAAAACAUAUGAAAAACAACAGCACCAUUUUUGAACAUUUUAAAGACAUUUUCGAAUCAUUUCUGGAACAUUAGAAGAGUAUAGAGACAAGCUUAUUUUAAUAAGAGGAAAACCAAAGUAUUUGGAAAAGAACUUUCAGGCGGUUUUCGAGACAUUUGUUUUAAAAACUUUCGACUUACAUUGAAAAUAUUUUUGGGUUAUUUUUGCAGUAUUUUUGAAAUCUUCCUUGAGGAAGAGUAUUGAUCCAUUUUUGAAACUACAUAUGUUUAUGUUUUUCUAUGCCUGGGUUUAUUCUCAGGGUUCUUUCGAUCCCCCUACUUGACAUUUUCCUCACAAUAAAUUACAAAAAAGAUUCACACACAAUUGAAUAUCCGUCGAAAUUCGGCAGGGUAACUUAGCUCGGUAAAGGAAAGCAGUGAAGUCUAUAUAUAGGUGUGUAGAGAGAAGGGUAAAAGUAUAAACAUCCGUCACUAAUCACAGUGACAAAAGUUACCUUCCUUUCCCUUAAGGUCAUUAGAGAUUCAGAGGUAUUCCCUGACCGACCGUAAGGACGUAGCCGGCGUCAUUAUCGAUCUAUACAAAGCGGAAGCUACCGAAUUGUUUCACAUUGAGGAUGGUAAAUUAAUCCCAGAUUAGUCAUCUUACGGCGGUUUUUCGUGCAACUUCUCUGAGAUAUUUUAGAACAUUAGGGACAUUUUUUAAUCUCUUCUAAAUUAUUCUGAGGACAUUUUUGAGACAUUUCUACGACAGUUUUUCAAAACAUUUCUGGAACAUUCUUGAAAUCUCACUAACAAAUUUUAGAAAUACUCUAAGAAGAAUUGUGGAAAAAUUUGAAACAUUUUUAAUACACUUAAGAGGUCAUGAUUACCGAACAGUUUUGAGCAAAGUGAACAAAUUUUUAGGACAUCUUUAAGAUAAUUUUGACACGUUUUGAAGUUAUUUUAGGAUUUUCAAGAUAUUAGUUGCGCGAUUGAUAACGAAUUUCUUUAUUCCACUGCAUUCGGGCAAAUCUGCCGAGGAAUAAAGAAACGAUAUCGCAAUUUACGAAGCAAGUGAGAAAGAGAUGCCAGAUAAUUUUUUACCAACUAAGCACGUGCGGUGGCGGGUUGAAGCUGACAAAUUUUACAGUGCGCUUCGGGCAGUACGCCAGGUCAAUACUGGGUCAAAUUCGAGCGAAUAAAGAAGGGUUUUGACAGCAGUUAGGUUGCUUUCAGGUCAAAACGAGGUGAGCUGGUGGAAUAAAGAAAUUCGCUUGAAGUUCUCACUGUUCGUACCAGCAGUAAGUGUCAAUUUAACAUAUCUAAAACGAGAUGAACUGAAAAGUUGUAAACAAACCGUUUCGAAAGAUUUUAUUGUUGCCUCAUAUAAAAAUCUCCGGUUUAAUAUCAAAUAAUCGUCAUUUGCGGGAAUUGUAACUGUUCUCGCUCUAUUUAAAACGCAUCGGGAGUCAAAAAUAGUAGGAUUGUAUCCAAGACACAACCGCAUAACUGACGUAGAACUACGCACAUUAACAACAAAUGCAAAGUCUACUAUUGCUUGCUCAAAUCAAGAAUCUCUUCACUGCUUGUUAAGUUACCCUGAUGAGGGCAGCUUGCUGUUCAAAAUUAAAAGAUGAUGCUGAUCGCAGCCUUUGUUCUGCCCAACAGUGGGGGAAUAAGGCACUCUGACAAACACACACACUGAAAAAGCUGCAUCGCACGAAGAAGGCCGAAGCCCUCAACUGGCAAAUCGAGACGUUUGCUGCUUUCGCGCUGCUGCUGAUAUGUGACCAAUCAAGUAAGUGAUUCGUUUAAGCCGAAAGCAAAUCCGGAAAGCCAGCAGAUACUGGUGCAAACCGUUGCUGCUACUGCUACAACCCACUACGCUACGGCUAAUACAGGACCAAGCGUUCGUCCCAUCAUUCAAGGCACUCUGACAAUCACACUGCAAAAGCUGUUUGCACACUUAGUAAGUUGAUCCAGCAUAGAGAAUGUGUUGUUGCCAAAAUAAAGCAAAGCUUAAUCGUGGGGAAGAAGGCCGAAUCGACAAAUCGAAACGUUUGCUGCUAUCACGCUGAUUCGUUUAAGCCGAAAGCAUAUUCGGAAAGUCAGCUGCUACUGCCGCAAUCCGCUACGCUGCGACUAACUAGAUAUGCUAUUCUGUCGACCUCUUGAGGGAAAGCCAGCAAUCAAGGACGUAAUUUUAGUUUCCACAAGGCUUGACAAUUUUGGGCGCAUGCGUGUAUUAUUUUCUAAUCGAUUGCUGUAAGACUGAAAAAAAUCGGUUGAAAACAAACCGAUUUAUAAGGAUUUGAAAAGGGGCAAAUUUCGUCCCCUUCUCGUCAAUAGAUUUCCAAUUUCGUAGGUAGGCUAAAAAAAAACGUAGUUCCCAAAAACUUCGUAGACCCAGGAACGCAGUUAUACUGGAGUUGUCCGCCAAGCCAUUUUCAAGCGACUGCAUGCUAUGGGAAUGUAUCAAAAACAAGGCACUUGAGUUCCUUAUGACUUGAAGCCAAGAAAUGUUGAGCGUUGUUUUUCCACCUGUGAUCUACUGCUCCAGCGGUAAAAAAGGAAGGGGUUUCUUCAUCGUAUCGUGAAGGGUGAUGAAUAAUAGAUUCGUUACAGUAACCUAAAGAAAACAAAGUCUUGGGACUGCCCGGUUAUGCUUCUACGCCACCGAUUCGGCCGAAUAUACACGCUAUGAAUACUUUGUAUUUGGUAGGACCAGAUCAGUGUUAUUUAUUAUGAGCUAUUGAAAUAGAACGAAGCCAUCACUGAAGAACAAAUCGAUUCAAGAAACAACAUUAAAUAGCCAAUAUUUUCGUUUUUUUUUUCAAAACCACAAUAGCCCAGCAGGGUAAGCAGGCUCAACUUGCAAGGGAAGCUAGCCGCCUAAAGCUAGAAAUCCUGGGACUGAGCGAAGUCCAUUGGCCGGGCACUGGCGAACACAUGACAUCAUUGGGACAGCAAUUACAAUUCAAUACGUCUUUUACUUGAUAACUGGUGAGAAUCCAGCGGUUUUUCGACGUUUCAGUACAGAGCUACGAUUGAUUGAAAAAAUUGCAGCCAGGUCGGGCAAGACGGACACAUUAAGAUGCCAACAAAAUACAUUCGUAAAAGUAAUCGGCAGUCAUGGACCACUCAGCAAUUGGAACAGGCCAUAAAGGCUGUUAAAAGUGGAUCACCAGUGAAAACAGCUGCGGAGAACUAUGCAGUUCCACGAACCUAGCUAAUUCGCCACCUGGCGGAGCCAGUUGUAUUAUCUCGAUUAGGACCACUUGAUUCCGCGUUCAAUCCCCAACAAGAAAAGGAGCUGGUACAGCAUCUACUGGAUUCGGAAAAGAGGUUCUAGGGAAUCACAAUAACCAACGUUCGAAAGCAUUUGAUUUGGCCGAUAAAAACGCAUUAAGGCACCCAUUCAACAAAUCUACCAAGAUGGUAGGAAGAGCUUGGCUAAGUAACUUUUUAAAACGAAAUCCCGAAUUGACUUUUCGUAAACCUGAAGCUACCUCUGCUGCCCGAGCAAGGGGCUUCAAUAAACCUUCUGUGUAUUCAUUUUACGAUUCACUGGAAGAAACGCUAAAGGAUCCUAAGUUUACGCCUGAUAGAAUUUUAAACGCCGAUGAGACUAGUGUUUGUACUGUUAGUUAUUGUUAUAUACGAAUUCGAGCGAAUAAAGAAGGGUUUUGACAGCAGUUAGGUUGCUUUCAGGUCAAAACGAGGUGAGCUGGUGGAAUAAAGAAAUUCGCUUGAAGUUCUCACUGUUCGUACCAGCAGUAAGUGUCAAUUUAACAUAUCUAAAACGAGAUGAACUGAAAAGCUGUAAACAAACCGUUUCGAAAGAUUUUAUUGUUGCCUCAUAUAAAAAUCUCCGGUUUAAUAUCAAAUAAUCGUCAUUUGCGGGAAUUGUAACUGUUCUCGCUCUAUUUAAAACGCAUCGGGAGUCAAAAAUAGUAGGAUUGUAUCCAAGACACAACCGCAUAACUGACGUAGAACUACGCACAUUAACAACAAAUGCAAAGUCUACUAUUGCUUGCUCAAAUCAAGAAUCUCUUCACUGCUUGUUAAGUUACCCUGAUGAGGGCAGCUUGCUGUUCAAAAUUAAAAGAUGAUGCUGAUCGCAGCCUUUGUUCUGCCCAACAGUGGGGGAAUAAGGCACUCUGACAAACACACACACUGAAAAAGCUGCAUCGCACGAAGAAGGCCGAAGCCCUCAACUGGCAAAUCGAGACGUGUGCUGCUUUCGCGCUGCUGCUGAUAUGUGACCAAUCAAGUAAGUGAUUCGUUUAAGCCGAAAGCAAAUCCGGAAAGCCAGCAGAUACUGGUGCAAACCGUUGCUGCUACUGCUACAACCCACUACGCUACGGCUAAUACAGGACCAAGCGUUCGUCCCAUCAUUCAAGGCACUCUGACAAUCACACUGCAAAAGCUGUUUGCACACUUAGUAAGUUGAUCCAGCAUAGAGAAUGUGUUGUUGCCAAAAUAAAGCAAAGCUUAAUCGUGGGGAAGAAGGCCGAAUCGACAAAUCGAAACGUUUGCUGCUAUCACGCUGAUUCGUUUAAGCCGAAAGCAUAUUCGGAAAGUCAGCUGCUACUGCCGCAAUCCGCUACGCUGCGACUAACUAGAUAUGCUAUUCUGUCGACCUCUUGAGGGAAAGCCAGCAAUCAAGGACGUAAUUUUAGUUUCCACAAGGCUUGACAAUUUUGGGCGCAUGCGUGUAUUAUUUUCUAAUCGAUUGCUGUAAGACUGAAAAAAAUCGGUUGAAAACAAACCGAUUUAUAAGGAUUUGAAAAGGGGCAAAUUUCGUCCCCUUCUCGUCAAUAGAUUUCCAAUUUCGUAGGUAGGCUAAAAAAAAACGUAGUUCCCAAAAACUUCGUAGACCCAGGAACGCAGUUAUACUGGAGUUGUCCGCCAAGCCAUUUUCAAGCGACUGCAUGCUAUGGGAAUGUAUCAAAAACAAGGCACUUGAGUUCCUUAUGACUUGAAGCCAAGAAAUGUUGAGCGUUGUUUUUCCACCUGUGAUCUACUGCUCCAGCGGUAAAAAAGGAAGGGGUUUCUUCAUCGUAUCGUGAAGGGUGAUGAAUAAUAGAUUCGUUACAGUAACCUAAAGAAAACAAAGUCUUGGGACUGCCCGGUUAUGCUUCUACGCCACCGAUUCGGCCGAAUAUACACGCUAUGAAUACUUUGUAUUUGGUAGGACCAGAUCAGUGUUAUUUAUUAUGAGCUAUUGAAAUAGAACGAAGCCAUCACUGAAGAACAAAUCGAUUCAAGAAACAACAUUAAAUAGCCAAUAUUUUCGUUUUUUUUUUCAAAACCACAAUAGCCCAGCAGGGUAAGCAGGCUCAACUUGCAAGGGAAGCUAGCCGCCUAAAGCUAGAAAUCCUGGGACUGAGCGAAGUCCAUUGGCCGGGCACUGGCGAACACAUGACAUCAUUGGGGAUCCAAAUGAUUAUGAAAUCUGGCUGGGAGACAUAAUCAUCAAUAGUCCUCCUCGCAUCAGCGGCAUCAAGACAGUUGAAAUAGACGACGAUGAUGAGAAUGAAUACAAUAGCCAAGAUUUGGCUGAUCUAGGCAUCACGCUACUGGCCGCUCCGUUGCAUAGAACCGCGCCGUUUAUAGUCAGAUCUGGAACCGCAAACGAAAAUCAUCUGCCAGGGCAUUCGCGGCGUCGUACAAGACGCGGAAAGAAAAGAAAAGCGGACUCACAAGGACAACGGCAAUUCACUUCGAAAGACAAUACAAUCCGAAAAGAAAUCACGCCAACAGCCGUCCCAUUGCAAAGAACCACGUCGUUCAUAAUCAGAUCGGGGACCGUAAAUGAAAAUCAACCGCCGGAGAAUUCGCGGCGUCGCGCAAGACGAGGAAAGAAAAGACGAGCGGUAAACCAGGAGCAUUUCACUUCGAAAAACAACGCUAUUCAAAAAGAAAUCACGCCAGAAGCCGUCCCAUUGCAAAGAACCACGUCGUUCAUAAUCAGAUCGGAAACCGUAAAUGAAAAUCAACCGCCGAGGAAUUCGCGGCAUCGCACAAGACGUGGAAAGAAAAGACGAGCGGAAAAGCAGGAGCAUUACAGUUCGAAAGACAAUACAAUCCAAAAAGAAGUAGAUGGUACUAACAAGAAACGUAAAAUGUGCCCAGAAGGGGCCGGAACAGGCAUCACGCCAAUAGCCGUCCCAUUGCAAAGGACUGCGUCCUUUAUAAUCAGAUCUGAUACCGUUAACGAAAAUCAAUCGUCGGGGGAUUCGCGGCGGCGCUCGAAAAAAUUAAUCGGAGUCGCGAGUUAACCAGGAGGUAGGGUCAAGUAUAAAGAGUAGCUAUCGUUGGUCUAUCAUCCAAUGAUUGUUAAGUUGAAAGGUUUCUAUAAACAGGAACAAAACUAAACUAAAAAUUAAAUGAAAUAAUUUCAUUCAAUGCCAUUUAAUGAUUGUUAUGUUUGAAGGUUUUUAUCAAGAGGAACAAAACUA